GGGCUGUGAACCGAAGUGUUGCAGGUUCGAUUCCCAGCCAGGGUACAUUCCUGGGUUGCAGGCCAGGUCCCCCGAGUAGGGGCCAUGUAAGAGGGAACCAUGCAUUGAUGUUUCUCUCCCUCUCUUUCUCUCCCCCUUCCUCUCUCUAAAGUUAAAUAAAUAAAAUCUUUAAAA